rnacentral:misc_RNA from 1 species
UUUCCGUAGGUGAACCUGCGGAAGGAUCAUUAUUGUAUAACCGAGGUGCGAGUGCUGUCGCUGACCCGACAGGUCGUGCACGCCUGAGUGCCCUCACACACAUCCAUCUCACCCCUAUGUGCACCACCGCGUGGGUCCCCCUUUGGCUUGUUCGGAGGGGGGCUUACGUUUUCACACAAACUUUGUAUGCAGUGUAGAAUGUAUUUUUUGUUUUUGCGAUCACGCAAUCAAUACAACUUUCAACAACGGAUCUCUUGGCUCUC